AACGGGUGAAAGACCCGUGAUGGUAAAAGCCGGAGCCAUGUAGCUUUGAUGGCAGGUGGUGAUGGAAACGUAACCAUGUGAAGCCCAUCGACAAAGUUCGCUGAAGGCGUGUGAGCAAAUAUCCGGGUUGUAACAA
rnacentral:ncRNA from 1 species